rnacentral:tRNA from 1 species
GCGCCCGUAGCUCAGCGGAUAGAGCGAUGGACUUCGAAUCCAAAGGUCGGGGGUUCAAAUCCCUCCGGGCGCGCCA